UACCUGGUWGAUCCUGCCAGUAGUCA
rnacentral:rRNA from 1 species